rnacentral:rRNA from 1 species
GAUGAACGCUGGCGGCGUGCCUAACACAUGCAAGUCGAGCGAACAGACGAGGCUCUUGCUCCGCUGACGUUAGCGGCGGGCGGGUGAGUAACACGUGUAUAACCUACCUAUCAGACUGAUAUCACUUCGGGAAACCGGAUCUAAUACCGGAUAACAUGCUGAACCGCGGGGUUCGUCGGUGAAAGUCGGUCUUGCUGUCACUAAUAGAUGGUUCCGCGCCGGUUUAGCUAGUUGUUAAGGUAACGGCCUACCAAGGCUAGCAUGCGUGAACGACCGGAGAGGGUGAUCGGCCACACUGGAACGGAGACACGGUCCAGACUCCUACGGGAGGCAGCAGUAGGGAAUGUUCGGCAAUGGGCGAAAGCCUGACGGAGCAAGGCCGCGUGUGUGAAGAAGGUCUUCGGAUCGUAAAGCUCUGUUAUUAGGGAAGAACAAAUGUGUAAGUAACCAUGGACGUACUGACGGUACCGAAUAAGAAAGCCCCGGCUAACUACGUG